rnacentral:rRNA from 1 species
GACAGCAGCGCCACGGGAAUACGUAGGGUGCAAGCGUUAAUCGGAAUUACUGGGCGUAAAGCGUGCGCAGGCGGUUAUAUAAGACAGAUGUGAAAUCCCCGGGCUCAACCUGGGAACUGCAUUUGUGACUGUAUAGCUAGAGUACGGCAGAGGGGGAUGGAAUUCCGCGUGUAGCAGUGAAAUGCGUAGAUAUGCGGAGGAACACCGAUGGCGAAGGCAAUCCCCUGGGCCUGUACUGACGCUCAUGCACGAAAGCGUGGGGAGCAAACAGGAUUAGAUACCCCAGUAGUCCCUGUCUCUUAUACA